UACGUAGGGGGCGAGCGUUGUCCGGAUUUAUUGGGCGUAAAGCGCGUGUAGGCGGCCAGAUAGGUCUGCUGUGAAAACUCGAGGCUCAACCUCGAGCUGUCGGCGGAAACCAUCUGGCUAGAGUCCGGAAGAGGAGAGUGGAAUUCCUGGUGUAGCGGUGAAAUGCGCAGAUAUCAGGAAGAACACCUAUGGCGAAGGCAGCUCUCUGGGACGGUACUGACGCUGAGACGCGAAAGCGUGGGGAGCGAACAGG
rnacentral:rRNA from 1 species